rnacentral:lncRNA from 1 species
UUUCUUUCCUACUUUGUUUGUCAAUAUAUUGGAUUUUAUUGCUUUGCAGAUUCGAAAUGGAAACCAUGAGAAGGUUGACUCUAUUAUGUGUUUCGUCUCUAUCUCUGUGUUGCUAUGGUCUUUCUUAAUGUGAUAUCUUACGAAAUUUCCAAGAUUUAUGAAGCAAAUUAAAUAUUCGAUCACCAAGCCCAAUUAGUAUAUAUACAAAUUGACAAGAGAGAAAUAAAGAAAUAGAGCGCGUCUAGCUAGUAUAUACGCGCAGUCAUCUAUUGACGAAUGACUUGAUAUGAGAGAUAAUCUUUG